rnacentral:rRNA from 1 species
AACCAUAGGCCAUGAAUCUGGUCUUGGGACACUGUCAGGUGGGCAGUUUGACUGGGGCGGUCGCCUCCCAAAAGGUAACGGAGGCGCUCAAAGGUUCUCUCAGUACGGUCGGAAAUCGUACGUAGAGUGUAAAGGCAAAAGAGAGCUUGAUUGCAAGACAUACAGGUCGAGCAAGGAUGAAAAUCGGACUUAGUGAUCCGGUGGUUCUGCGUGGAAGGGCCAUCGCUCAACGGAUAAAAGCUACCCUGGGGAUAACAGGCUUAUCUCCCCCAAGAGUCCACAUCGACGGGGAGGUUUGGCACCUCGAUGUCGGCUCAUCACAUCCUGGGGCUGUAGUAGGUCCCAAGGGUUGGGCUGUUCGCCCAUUAAAGUGGUACGCGAGCUGGGUUCAGAACGUCGUGAGACAGUUCGGUCCCUAUCCGUCGCAGGCGUAGGAAAUUUGAGGAGACCUGUCCUUAGUACGAGAGGACCGGGAUGGACGUACCUCUGGUGUACCAGUUGUUCUGCCAAGGGCAUGGCUGGGUAGCUAUGUACGGAAUGGAUAAGCGCUGAAAGCAUCUAAGCGCGAAGCCAACUUCAAGAUAAGAUUUCCCACCGCAAGGGUAAGACCCCAGAAAGACUAUCUGGUUGAUAGGUCGAAGGUGUAAGUGCAGCAAUGUAUUUAGCUUAUCGAUACUAAUAGGUCGAGGACUUGACCAA